CGGAGAUAGCUGGUUCUCCUCGAAAUCUAUUUAGGUAGAGCCUCAUGUAUUACUCGCGGGGGUAGAGCACUGUUAUGGCUAGGGGGGCCUGACCGCCUUACCAACCCAUUGCAAACUCCGAAUACCGCGAAGUAUCAGCAUGGGAGACACACGGUGGGUGCUAACGUCCAUCGUGGAAAGGGAAACAACCCAGACCGCCAGCUAAGGUCCCAAAAUUACAGCUCAGUGGGAAACGAUGUGGGAAGGCAUAGACAGCUAGGAGGUUGGCUUAGAAGCAGCCAUCCUUUAAAGAAAGCGUAAUAGCUCACUAGUCGAGUCGGCCUGCGCGGAAGAUUUAACGGGGCUCAAGCUGUAUACCGAAGCUGCGGAAUCGGAUUUAUCCGAAUGGUAGAGGAGCGUUCUGUAAGCCGGUGAAGGUGAAUCGUAAGGUUUGCUGGAGGUAUCAGAAGUGCGAAUGCUGACAUAAGUAACGAUAAGACGGGUGAAAAACCCGUCCGCCGAAAAUCCAAGGUUUCCUGCGCAACGUUAAUCGGCGCAGGGUUAGUCGGCCCCUAAGGCGAGGCAGAGAUGCGUAGUCGAUGGGAAACAGGUUAAUAUUCCUGUACCGCUAAUAAGUGCGAUGGGGUGACGGAGAAAGCUAGGCCAGAACACAGUUGGUGUGUAUCUAAGCGUUUAGGCAGAGAACUUAGGCAAAUCCGGGUUCUUAAUGCUGAGGCGUGAAUGCGACGGUUCUACGGAACUGGAGUGGUCGAUGCUAUGCUUCCAGGAAAACCCUCUAAGCUUCAGCUUAUUAGCGACCGUACUCUAAACGGACACACGUGGAUAGGAUGAGAAUUCCAAGGCGCUUGAGAGAACUCUGGUGAAGGAACUAGGCAAAAUGGCACCGUAACUUCGGGAGAAGGUGCGCCCCUGACGGUUCAUAGCUGUUGGGGGCCGCAGAGACCAGGUGGCUGCGACUGUUUAACAAAAACACAGCACUCUGCUAACGCGAAAGCGGACGUAUAGGGUGUGACGCCUGCCCGGUGCCGGAAGGUUAAUUGAUGGGGUUAGCUUAUGCGAAGCUCUUGAUCGAAGCCCCGGUAAACGGCGGCCGUAACAAUAACGGUCCUAAGGUAGCGAAAUUCCUUGUCGGGUAAGUUCCGACCUGCACGAAUGGCGUAACGACGGCCACACUGUCUCCACCAGAGGCUCAGUGAAAUUGAAUUCGCGGUUAAGAUGCCGCGUACCCGCGGCUAGACGGAAAGACCCCGUGAACCUUUACUAUAGCUUUGCACUGGACUUUGAAUUUGCUUGUGUAGGAUAGGUGGGAGGCUUUGAAGUGGGGACGCCAGUUCUCAUGGAGCCAUCCUUGAAAUACCACCCUGGCAACUUUGAGGUUCUAACUCAGGUCCGUUAUCCGGAUCGAGGACAGUGUAUGGUGGGUAGUUUGA
rnacentral:rRNA from 1 species